rfam:Thiovulum sp. ES ThvES_contig00154.154, whole genome shotgun sequence.
GGAGGGUUGCGCCGAAUUGGUAAGGCAGCGGAUUUGAAAUCCGCCGGGGCUUAGGCCCCUUGGGGGUUCGAGUCCCCCACCCUCCG